rnacentral:rRNA from 1 species
GAUGAACGCUGGCGGCGUGCCUAAUACAUGCAAGUCGAGCGAACAGACGAGGAUCUUGCUCCUCUUACGUUAGCGGCGGACGGGUGAGUAACACGUGGAUAACCUACCUAUAAGACUGAGAUAACUUCGGGAAACCGGAUCUAAUACCGGAUAAUAUAUUGAGCCGCAUGGUUCAAUAGUGAAAGACGGUUUUGCUGUCACUUAUAGAUGGAUCCGCGCCGCAUUAGCUAGUUGGUAAGGUAACGGCUUACCAAGGCUACGAUGCGUAGCCGACCUGAGAGGGUGAUCGGCCACACUGGAACUGAGACACGGUCCAGACUCCUACGGGAGGCAGCAGUAGGGAAUAUUCCGCAAUGGGCGAAAGCCUGACGGAGCAACGCCGCGUGAGUGAUGAAGGUCUUCGGAUCGUAAAACUCUGUUAUUAGGGAAGAACAACUGUGUAAGUAAAUAUGCACGUCUUGACGGUACCUAAUCAGAAAGCCACGGCUAACUACGUG